AGCGCAACGGGAUCCACCCCGCGAGUCGCCAGCAAGUAGUCGCGCAUGACGAUUCCGUGACGGUUCUC
rnacentral:sRNA from 1 species